rnacentral:tRNA from 1 species
GCUUUCAAAGGAUAAUAGUAAUCCAAUGGUCUUAGGAGCCACACAUCUUGGUGCAACUCCAAGUGAAAGUA